UACGGGGGGGGGCAAGCGUUGUUCGGAAUUACUGGGCGUAAAGGCUCGUAGGCGGCCAACUAAGUCAUACGUGAAAUCCCUCGGCUUAACCGGGGAACUGCGUCUGAUACUGGAUGGCUUGAGAUUGGGAGAGGGAUGCGGAAUUCCAGGUGUAGCGGUGAAAUGCGUAGAUAUCUGGAGGAACACCGGUGGCGAAGGCGGCAUCCUG
rnacentral:rRNA from 1 species